AAUGCGUGCACGGGAUCGAACUUGUUCCAUCACCGAAUCUCAUGGCUCUCAGUGAGGAAGAUCGGAAGAAAUGGGUUGAGCUUACCGGAAGGGGUUUAAACUUCACGAUUCCACCCGAAGCUAGUGAUUUUAGUUCAUGGAGAAACCUCCCGAACACUGAUUUUGAGCUCGAGAGACCUCCGAUAAUAAAGAGCGUACUCAAUUUAUCUACUCAAUCAUCGAGCCAUAUGGACAGUGAUGGCACUGACUUAUCACUUGUGAGCAACAAAAGGAGGAAAGACGAUGAUUGCUAUUUGCCGGUCAUUCCUCCAUCCGACCGAAUACCAGACAUGGAAAUUCAUCCUAGUGAACCUCACUGGUUAAACGACUUCAGUGGGGUAAUGAAAAACGCUUACGGUCCCGUUACUGCUGCGAAAGCCAUCUACGAGGACAAAGCCGGUUACUUGAUCAUUAUCAGCUUGCCUUUUGUUGAUCUUCAAAGGGUAAAGGUCUCAUGGAGGAACACACUCACUCAUGGUAUUAUAAAACUAUCUUGUGUGAGCACAACGGGUAUGCCGUUCAUCAAACGACACAACCGGACUUUCAAGCUUACGGAUCCCGCUCCCGAGCAUUGCCCUCCCGGCGAAUUCGUUAGAGAAAUCCCAUUGUCAACUCGAAUCCCCGAAGACGCCGACAUAGAAGCAUAUCACGACGGGCCGGGUUCUGUUCUCGAGAUUAUGGUUCCGAAACUACGGAUGGUACCCGAAGAACAUGAAAUCCGGGUUUGUCUUCGGCCUAAACAUGUAGGGAAUGAUCUCCUGUUGACAUGAAUUAUAAAAGGGUAGUUGGUAUGGUUGGUGCUGCAUUGUUUUUACUGACCUUUGUACGAUACAAUGUAAUCUAUGAAAACAAAAAUAUGGGUCUUCCGUUUUAUACUUUUACCAUUUUUGACUGUAAUUAGAAUUUGAUUUUUCGGACAUUUGAUUAUAUUAAACUUGUGUUUUGUAGUUUCAGACAUUUAUUGAAUUUUAAUGUAGAGGUAGAAAUUGUUGAAUUACUUGGUUGGUCCUUGUAUUAUAGAUCAAAGAACAAAUUAGUCCUUUUAGUGCAAAAAUAAUAUCGAACAGCAAAUUAAUUCCUCUAUUAUAAAAUAGAUAAUUUACUCUCCUUGCAUAAAGGGAUAAAGUAACAUUUAGUCUUUGAACUUGUUAAUUUUUCUCAAUUUAACCUGUAAAAAGUUUUUUGGUCGCACAUAUUUAAUUAGGACAAAAGAAAAAGUGAAGCAUUAAAUUAAACAUUGAAAUUAAAUUUCAAAUAUUUAAUUUUGAUUAAAAAAAUUUAAGUAUCAAACUAAAAAAAUUUAGGUAUCAAAAAAUAUCAUUGGACACGUUAUUCGAAUAAAAAAUGCACGUAUUUAAUUAGGACAAAAGAAAAAAGUAAAACACUAAAUUGAACAUUGAAACUAAAUUUUAGAUAUUUAAUUUUGACUAAGAAAAACUUUUAAGUAUCAAACUAAAAAAACUUAUGUACCAAAGUGAGCAUUAAAGCAAAACUUAAAUACGAAAUUAAACAUUGAAACUAAACUCAAGUUCCAAAUAGUAUAUUAACCCAACUAAAAACUAAGAACACACAACAUCGUUAAAAAAUAAUUAUGAGUAAAUUGCACUCGAGAUCACUAAAUUAUUAAUAAGUUUAUGUUUUAGUCACUAAAGCUUUAAAAAGUUUCAAAUUAAUCACUGAACUAUUAAAAAGUUUUCAUUUAAGUAAUUGGACUAUUCAAAAUUUUUUAUUUAAGUCGCCAAGCUAUUAAGUUUUUUUUUUUUAAUUUAACUAGCGAGCUCCAAGCAAUGAUUCGAUGAUCGAUACGGUGGAGUAAAACCAAUUAGUGAGAAGAAUAACAUACUUAGAUCCAAUUUGAUUUGGCAGUUAGCCGAAGAUUAGAGAAGAAAGUUAUUUAGAUUUUAGUUUCCAAAUUCGUGACAUUGAAAGCUCUUUUAUAAAAAAAACAAAAUUGUAGAAGAGAAAGAAGAAAAAACUUUCAAUUAGUGUAAACAAUGCGAAUAGAGAAAGUGAUACGAUAACAAUUUUAACAGCCCAACAAAUUAAAUAAAAACUUUCGAAUAAUUCAAUAAACAAUUUAUAACUUUUUGAAGUUGACUAAAUUUAGUGACCGCUAGAUGUAUUUUACCGAUAAACAAAACGGUGGAGGAUUGAGAAAAGUGGCGCAAAGGAAAAGUGCACCGUUACCGUUAAGUAACGGCGAUAAUCAAUAUGGGUGAUAUCCAGUGUAGGCUUUUACUAACGAUAUAAACCUCUGUAUAAUGAGACGGUGGCUUACCUUUCAAUUAUCAUCUCUCACUUUUUUUAUUUUCAUUUUCCUCUGUUUUCUCUUUACUGGCCACAAAACAAAGCAAGUAAAUGGAAGAAACAGAAGGGGGGGAAAAGCAUAUAAACGUAUCAUAAUAUAAAAAAGAAACUAAAAUUUAAAAAAAAUAGUUGAAGAGAUAAAGGAAAGGGAAAAAAAAUGGUGGGUAAGGUUGGGGAUGAUGAUGAUUUAGUGGAGCUGAGCAUUAUAAUCGUUCAUGAAGGUCCUUCUUCAUCUCGAUUCCUCGAUGCUUAUCCCAUAAGGUAACCUUUAAAGAUCCCUUCAUUUCUCUUCUAGAAAAUUUGAAAUUUCUCUCUCUCUUUUUUUUUUUUUUAAUUUUGCUUUGUCAAAGUUUGGUCUUCUUUUUUUUUUAAUUCUUAAGAUGUAAUUUUUUUUAUGUAAAGCAAAAAUAAGAAUUGGGUUUUUUUUUUGUUUUUUUAUUUAUGGAAUUUAUGCUUUUGAUUCAGUUUCUGUAGAUUUUAGGGUUCUUUCUUUAGCAGCUUUUUAGGGGAAAUUUAUUGUGUUAGAAUUUAGGGUCAAAUUAUUUAUGUUUUACAAUUUGUUUGUUAUAUUGUUAAUAAGUUGGGGUUUAUUGAAUUUGAUUUUUAAAAAAAAUAAGUUGUUGAUUUCUGUGGGUUUUUCUGGGGAUUGUUGUUUUAUGUUUUUUUAAUAAAAUUCUAGGGUUUUGAUUGAGGGGAAAAUCAUGUGGUGAUUGAUAAUUUAUUGAAUUUUUUGGGGGGGUUUUUGGGGUAAAUGGAAAAAUUCAAUCCACAAGCAGCAAUUAUUACAAUCUCCAAUUGCAUAAGCUGAAAUGGGAGCUUCUCUCCUUACAACUUUCUCAAUGGAGAAUCAUCAUCCUUCAACUCUUUUAUCUAUGGAUUCGAGCGCUCACGACGAGUUUGAUUUAGACAAGAAUCGGCAAUCUAUUCUGUCCCGGCCACCGGAUAUCAAUUUGCCAUUAUCUGCCGAGCGUAGCCCUCCACCACAGCAGCCAUGGAACUCCGAUCAGUGCGAUAUUCUAGAUGUUGGGCUGUGUUCACAAGCUUAUGAAACUGAGAGCUACCUUCCAGUCUCGAAAGCCGGACGGAAAUGCACUAAGCGGGUAGAUAGUAUAUGGGGUGCUUGGUUGUUCUUUAGCUUUUACUUCAAACCCGCUUUGAAAGAGAAAUCCAAGGCUAAGAUCGUUCGAGAUAGCAAUGGUGUUUCUGGUUUCGAUAAAUCGGAUCUUAAGUUGGAUGUUUUCAUGGUUCAACACGACAUGGAGAAUAUGUAUAUGUGGGUUUUCAAGGAGAAGCCCGAGAAUGCAUUAGGUAAAAUGCAACUUCGAAGCUACAUGAAUGGGCAUUCUCGCCAAGGGGAACGUCCUUUUCCUUUUAGUGUCGAUAAGGGAUUUAUCCGUUCCCAUAGGAUGCAACGGAAGCAUUAUAGAGGAUUGUCAAACCCUCAGUGUGUGCACGGGAUCGAACUUGUUCCAUCACCGAAUCUCAUGGCUCUCAGUGAAGAAGAUCGGAAGAAAUGGAUUGAGCUUACCGGAAGGGAUUUAAACUUCACGAUUCCACCCGAAGCUAGUGAUUUUAGUUCAUGGAGAAACCUCCCAAACACUGAUUUUGAGCUCGAGAGACCUCAGAUAAUAAAGAACAUACCACAUUCUCACUCGAGGAAACUGCUCAACGGGUCUGGACUCAAUUUAUCUACUCAAUCAUCAAGCCAUACGUACGGUGAUGGCACAGACUUAUCACUUGUGAGCAACAAGAGGAGGAAAGACGAUGAUUGCUUUUUGCCUGUCAUUUCUCCUCCUGA
rnacentral:lncRNA from 1 species